rnacentral:lncRNA from 1 species
CUACGCCAGAAGUUACAGCUAAUGUUCCUAAGACAAACCAGGCUUUCUUGAGUUCUGAUCUGGACAUUUCAGUUAUUGACUCUGACGUAGAAGGUAGAAAUACAAGCUCUCUUUUGGGGUGUAAAUUUUGUGCAUGAUUUGGCUUUCAUUGAGACGUCUCUGGGUAAGGAGUUACUAAGGAAGAGAAACUUACAUGCAGGUUGAAGCAUGCAGUGUCAAAUGUAUAAGGAAUAUAAAAGAUGCUGUAUAUUAGUAUAA